CUGAGUUGGAGACACAGCUGAUGGGGGAGUGGUGAUACCAGCCUACUUAUAUAAAGUGAGAUUUUAGUUGUGGCUUCACAUUCCAUACAAGGCAUUCUAGCACAUUACUCCACUACCACCAAAAAGGGCACUCGGGAAGAAGAAAACAUGCCCGAAGAAGGAGGCAAUCAAGGAUUAGGUUUUGCACAAAGUGAGCAGAGAACAAGUGACUACCUGUGGUGGUCCAUCAUGAACCUGGUGUGCUGCUGUUUGCCGCUCGGGAUCGCUGCCAUCAUCUAUUCUCGCAAGGUAAUAGGGCUAUGGAGGGUUACCUGCAAAGAUAGGAUUUACAGGAGUGAGGGUCAGUUAAAUCUUCCUUAGACGAUAGAGACUUUUUGUUUAACAAACAUUUAUAUUCUAUCCAUCAUCUAAUCUCUGAGAUUGUGGAACUUUUUACCCGGAGAUUUGAAGUGGCAUUUAGUUAGAAAACGAUCGCUUCGGUUUAACAACGAGUGGUAUACAAACACAAAACAGAUGUCUGUUCAUGAUUUGUUGAGACGAAUUAAAUUUUUUCCAAUAAUGCUGCAAAUUCUAGCAUUUUUUGAUGUUGUAAUUGAUACACGUGAUACAAACCAUGAAAUGUGUGGAUACAUUUUAAAGAGACCUGUAGAGGUAUUCACAAUUCUGCUUUAUAACCCGUAUGGGAUCUAACUGCUAAACAGCAAAUUGGGAUGCAUUGAAAACCAAACUGCUGAUGUAGUUUUUAAAACCUUUUCCAGCUUGUUCAUAGUUUAUAAAUUGACUGUUUAAUCCUGAAUGUUGUCAUUUAGUUUUGAAUUUACUAAAAUGUUGUGUACAGUAAAUAAAUCCAUUAGGCACCCAGUUAAUAAGAGAUAAAAUGUUGGAGCUUAAAAAAUAUAUCAACGCAUGGGAUAGACGGGGUCAGACGGGGUGAGACGCCUAUCAUCAAGCAGCCCACCCUCGGGUUCAAUUCUUUGAUGCUAAUGCAAACUCAUUAAAUUGCAUAAUAUGUCUGUAUAUUGGUGCUUGCAAACGUUCAAUUAAAAAAAAUAUAUAUAUUUCCUAUUAUUGCACAUGGUGAAACGAUAUAAAUCACAAAAAUAAUUGUUUUAUUGCAUAGACUAAAAUAUGAAAGGUUAGAAGAUAUGUACAUUUUACAAAAGUUAAAGUUUGUAAUAUCUGUCAUGUUAUUGCAUGGGGUGUAAAGUUAGAGAUUAUAUAAACCUUCUGGUUAUUGCAUGGGGUGUAAGGUUAGAGAUUAUAUAAACCGUCUGGUUAUUGCAUGGGGUGUAAGGUUAGAGAUUAUAUAAACCGUCUGGUUAUUGCAUGGGGUGUAAAGUUAGAGAUUAUAUAAACCGUCUGGUUAUUGCAUGGGGUGUAAAGUUAGAGAUUAUAUAAACCAUCUGGUUAUUGCAUGGGGUGUAAAGUUAGAGAUUAUAUAAAUCAUCUGGUUAUUGCAUGGGGUGUAAAGUUAGAAAUUAUAUAAACCAUCUGGUUAUUGCAUGGGAUGUAAAGUUAGAGAUUAUAUAAACCGUCUGUUAUUGCAUGGGGUGUAAAGUUAGAGAUUAUAUAAACCAUCUGGUUAUUGCAUGGGGUGUAAAGUUAGAGAUUACAGGGAGUGCAGAAUUAUUAGGCAAAUUGUAUUUUUGAGGAUUAAUUUUAUUAUUGAACAACAACCAUGUUCUUAAUGAACCCAAAAAACUCAUUAAUAUCAAAGCUGAAUAUUUUUGGAAGUAGUUUUUAGUUUGUUUUUAGUUAUAGCUAUGUUAGGGGGAUAUCUGUGUGUGCAGGUGACUAUUACUGUGCAUAAUUAUUAGGCAACUUAACAAAAAACAAAUAUAUACCCAUUUCAAUUAUUUAUUAUUACCAGUGAAACCAAUAUAACAUCUCAACAUUCACAAAUAUACAUUUCUGACAUUCAAAAACAAAACAAAAACAAAUCAGUGACCAAUAUAGCCACCUUUCUUUGCAAGGACACUCAAAAGCCUGCCAUCCAUGGAUUCUGUCAGUGUUUUGAUCUGUUCACCAUCAACAUUGCGUGCAGCAGCAACCACAGCCUCCCAGACACUGUUCAGAGAGGUGUACUGUUUUCCCUCCUUGUAAAUCUCACAUUUGAUGAUGGACCACAGGUUCUCAAUGGGGUUCAGAUCAGGUGAACAAGGAGGCCAUGUCAUUAGAUUUUCUUCUUUUAUACCCUUUCUUGCCAGCCACGCUGUGGAGUACUUGGACGCGUGUGAUGGAGCAUUGUCCUGCAUGAAAAUCAUGUUUUUCUUGAAGGAUGCAGACUUCUUCCUGUACCACUGCUUGAAGAAGGUGUCUUCCAGGAACUGGCAGUAGGACUGGGAGUUGAGCUUGACUCCAUCCUCAACCCGAAAAGGCACCACAAGCUCAUCUUUGAUGAUACCAGCCCAAACCAGUAAUCCACCUUGCUGGCGUCUGAGUCGGACUGGAGCUCUCUGCCCUUUACCAAUCCAGCCACGGGCCCAUCCAUCUGGCCCAUCAAGACUCACUCUCAUUUCAUCAGUCCAUAAAACCUUAGAAAAAUCAGUCUUGAGAUAUUUCUUGGCCCAGUCUUGACGUUUCAGCUUGUGUGUCUUGUUCAGUGGUGGUCGUCUUUCAGCCUUUCUUACCUUGGCCAUGUCUCUGAGUAUUGCACACCUUGUGCUUUUGGGCACUCCAGUGAUGUUGCAGCUCUGAAAUAUGGCCAAACUGGUGGCAAGUGGCAUCGUGGCAGCUGCACGCUUGACUUUUCUCAGUUCAUGGGCAGUUAUUUUGCGCCUUGGUUUUUCCACACGCUUCUUGCGACCCUGUUGACUAUUUUGAAUGAAACGCUUGAUUGUUCGAUGAUCACGCUUCAGAAGCUUUGCAAUUUUAAGAGUGCUGCAUCCCUCUGCAAGAUAUCUCACUAUUUUUGACUUUUCUGAGCCUGUCAAGUCCUUCUUUUGACCCAUUUUGCCAAAGGAAAGGAAGUUGCCUAAUAAUUAUGCACACCUGAUAUAGGGUGUUGAUGUCAUUAGACCACACCCCUUCUCAUUACAGAGAUGCACAUCACCUAAUAUGCUUAAUUGGUAGUAGGCUUUCGAGCCUAUACAGCUUGGCGUAAGACAACAUGCAUAAAGAGGAUGAUGUGGUCAAAAUACUCAUUUGCCUAAUAAUUCUGCACUCCCUGUAUAUAAACCAUCUGGUUAUUGCAUGGGGUGUAAAGUUAGAGAUUAUAUAAACCAUCUGGUUAUUGCAUGGGGUGUAAGGUUAGAGAUUAUAUAAACCAUCUGGUUAUUGCAUGGGGUGUAAAGUUAGAGAUUAUAUAAACCGUCUGGUUAUUGCCUGGGGUGUAAAGUUAGAGAUUAUAUAAACCGUCUGGUUAUUGCCUGGGGUGUAAAGUUAGAGAUUAUAUAAACCGUCUGGUUAUUGCAUGGGGUGUAAAGUUAGAGAUUAUAUAAACCGUCUGGUUAUUGCCUGGGGUGUAAAGUUAGAGAUUAUAUAAACCGUCUGGUUAUUGCCUGGGGUGUAAAGUUAGAGAUUAUAUAAACCGUCUGGUUAUUGCAUGGGGUGUAAGGUUAGAGAUUAUAUAAACCAUCUGGUUAUUGCAUGGGGUGUAAGGUUAGAGAUUAUAUAAACCAUCUGGUUAUUGCAUGGGGUGUAAAGUUAGAGAUUAUAUAAACCGUCUUGUUAUUGCAUGGGCUGUAAGGUUAGAGAUUAUAUAAACCGUCUGGUUAUUGCCUGGGGUGUAAAGUUAGAGAUUAUAUAAACCGUCUGGUUAUUGCAUGGGGUGUAAAGUUAGAGAUUAUAUAAACCAUCUGGUUAUUGCAUGGGGUGUAAAGUUAGAAAUUAUAUAAACCAUCUGGUUAUUGCAUGGGGUGUAAGGUUAGAGAUUAUAUAAACCAUCUGGUUAUUGCAUGGGGUGUAAAGUUAGAGAUUAUAUAAACCGUCUUGUUAUUGCAUGGGCUGUAAGGUUAGAGAUUAUAUAAACCGUCUGGUUAUUGCCUGGGGUGUAAAGUUAGAGAUUAUAUAAACCGUCUGGUUAUUGCAUGGGGUGUAAAGUUAGAGAUUAUAUAAACCGUCUGGUUAUUGCAUGGGGUGUAAAGUUAGAGAUUAUAUAAACCGUCUGGUUAUUGCAUGGGGUGUAAGGUUAGAGAUUAUAUAAACCGUCUGGUUAUUGCAUGGGGUGUAAAGUUAGAGAUUAUAUAAACCAUCUGGUUAUUGCAUGGGGUGUAAAGUUAGAGAUUAUAUAAACCAUCUGGUUAUUGCAUGGGGUGUAAAGACGGAAGAAGUUCCAUUUUAUUGAGGAUCCGUCCAGUACAUCUGGGCAAUCUUGCCUGUGGAGGAAAGUAAAUCUGGGUAUCUCCCUGCUGUUGCCAUAAAAUCUAUGGUUGGAUUUCAAAAUUAUUCCACAAUUCUGUUGAAUUGUGAUGAUUUAAUGACCAAUGGGUUUGCUUCCAGUGAAAGAUUGUCAGAUUGCAAAUUGCCAGAUUUUCUACCACUUGAUUGUCUACUCCUCUUCUAGGACCCCCUUGAUUGUUUAGCUCAAUAGCUGUAGUCAAGUUGUCUAACUGCAUCGGCACAUAGUUGCCGUCUAUGUGACCUUUGAAGGCCAACAGUGCUUCUAAGACUGCCUUCAUUUUCUUGAAGUUUGGAGGACUGAUGAUUUUCCUCUGGAGACCAAACACCUUGUUUCAUGAUUGAAUUCAAUUGAGUUCUCCAUCGUAUUCCUGAAGUGUCUGUACUUGAUCAGACCCAGUGCUGCUGCCUGAAGGUUAAUCCUUCAGUUUUGUCCAUCAAUUUCAAUACUAAUAAGAGUUUUUUUGUUACUCUCAUGUCCAAAUCCUAACCUUCUGGAUCUCUGUUCCAGACUUGCAGUAUUUCCCUUCGUAAUGCUAUUGCCCACUUGAUUGCUGGAAUGGUGGAUGUGAGAAAAUCCAUCAAGCUCAUAGCUUGUCUGAUAAUGCAGGCUGGAUUUCUUUGAAUGUUUAUGAUUUCGUUGUAUAUCCCUCACCAAAAGACUUUCAUUUAAUGUCGCAGUUUUGGUGUGUAGAUCAUGCCCCUUGCAGUAUCAUUGCUCAAUUCGCUGCCAUUUAGGAGUCAAAUUACUUUGUCUAUGCAGCCCUAGUCACACCUCCCUACAUGUGACUUACACAGCCUUCCUCAACACUUCCUGUAUAGAGUCAUCCAAUGUUUAGACUUCCUUUAUUGCAAAUUCUGUUCAGUUCAGAAUUUCUUAUCGCCUGCAUUGUUAAUAGCAUUCUAGACCCUACAGGAGUAUGUUACAGAGCAGGGGAUAAAAACCUUUAAAGUAAGUUAUGUCUGAUUGAAAGUGAAACCUUUUUUUUUUUCCAUGCAGGCUGUGUCAGUCACAGUCAGGGAAGGUGUGGCUAGGGCUGCAUAAACAGAAACAAAAGUGAUUUAACUCCUAAAUGACAGAGAAUAGAGCAGUGAGACUUCAGAGGAAUGAUCUAUACACCAAAACUACUUAAACUAAAGCUGUUUUGGUGACUAUAGUAUCCCUUUAAUCUUUUGUGACAGAAAAACCAAAACACAGGUUCUGUGGCAAUGAAAGCUCGUUGAGGUUAUUACUAAACAGCUUCAGGAGUGAGGCUUUCAGUAACAGUAUACAAAUGACACAGGAAUGCAGAGUGCGCAACUUGCGAUGGCGUUCUUGUCACUGCCUGAGUUUGAUAGACAAGCUCAAGAAAGCAACAGCUCCGAACUUCAUAUGGAUGCUGUCACGGCAAGGGUGCAUUGUGACAGACUGCCUGGCACCGCGACUGGGUGCCUCCGCCAAUCGCUGCUUGCUAGCUGUCGAGUACCAUAAGCACCACACUGGACACCAUAAGCACCGUAGCCCCUUAGCCACCGCAGCUUGGCAGGGGUCUUGCCGUCCCUUCUCACCCUGGAAGUGGGUGGGAUAUAAAAAUAAUGCCUUUUUUUCCCUUUUUUUUUAAAGCUGGGAAAUGACAGGUUAUUUAGAAAGGUUAUUACAUGUCCAAUACUUUCUCUUUCAGACGCGAGAUGCUGUUCUGACGCAUGACAUGGAUUCAGCUGCGAAAUACUCCCACAAAACGCUAAUUUUGAAUAUCUCGGCUCUGGUUAUCGGAAUUAUUCUCAACAUCGUAGUUCUCUGCAUAUAUUUCAAGGUUAUUAAUAUCUAUUAACAUAUCGAAUCCUGACGUCCAUCGGGACCGCGACCAAUAAUCUGCUGAGCAACAUUAAACUAUAACUUUAUCACUUUACAA
rnacentral:lncRNA from 1 species